CUGAUGCAGCGACGCCGCGUGAGGGAUGGAGGCCUUCGGGUUGUAAACCUCUUUCGCCAGUGAAGCAGGCCUGCUCCUUGUGGGUGGGUUGACGGUAGCUGGAUAAGAAGCGCCGGCUAACUACGUGCCAGCAGCCGCGGUAAUACGUAGGGCGCGAGCGUUGUCCGGAAUUAUUGGGCGUAAAGAGCUCGUAGGCGGCUGGUCGCGUCUGUCGUGAAAUCCUCUGGCUUAACUGGGGGCUUGCGGUGGGUACGGGCCGGCUUGAGUGCGGUAGGGGAGACUGGAACUCCUGGUGUAGCGGUGGAAUGCGCAGAUAUCAGGAAGAACACCGGUGGCGAAGGCGGGUCUCUGGGCCGUUACUGACGCUGAGGAGCGAAAGCGUGGGGAGCGAACA
rnacentral:rRNA from 1 species